AUGCAGACGGUAGAAGCUUCGUUUCUGUCCAACAGGAUGAUUUUGGUGCCGCUGCUGCUCCUCUGCGUCUUCACUGAUGUGAGCUGUGAGGAGCUCAGUCCAGUCCACGGUGAGCACACUCAGCUCUCCGUGGAAGGCAACACCGCGUCUCUGUCCUACAACUACCCCAAACUCGUAUUUACAGAUUAUUUCUUCUGGUAUCGGCAACAUCCAGGAAAACCACCUCAGUUUCUCAUCUCACACUCAGCAUCAGAAUCUGUGCUGAAUAAUCCGGUCGCGGGACUGAAGGUCAAAGUGGAGGAAAAACUGAUCCAGAUGAGCAUCUCCUCCAUCACAGUAGCAGAUUCUGCUGUUUACUUCUGCGCCGUGAAGCCCACAGUGACAGGAAACCCAGAGUCCCUGUACAAAAACCAUCAUCUCAGCUAA